rnacentral:rRNA from 1 species
UAGGGAAUCUUCGGCAAUGGACGAAAGUCCGACCGAGCAACGCCGCGUGAGUGAAGAAGGUUUUCGGAUCGUAAAACUCUGUUGUUAGAGAAGAACAGGGACGUUAGUAACUGAACGUCCCCUGACGGUAUCUAACCAGAAAGCCACGGCUAACUACGUGCCAGCAGCCGCGGUAAUACGUAGGUGGCAAGCGUUGUCCGGAUGUAUUGGGCGUAAAGCGAGCGCAGGCGGUUUCUUAAGUCUGAUGUGAAAGCCCCCGGCUCAACCGGGGAGGGUCAUUGGAAACUGGGAGACUUGAGUGCAGAAGAGGAGGGUGGAAUUCCAUGUGUAGCGGUGAAAUGCGUAGAUAUAUGGAGGAACACCAGUGGCGAAGGCGGCUCUCUGGUCUGUAACUGACGCUGAGGCUCGAAAGCGUGGGGAGCAAACAGG